GACGAACGCUGGCGGCGUGCUUAACACAUGCAAGUCGAACGGAAAGGCCCUGCUUUUGUGGGGUGCUCGAGUGGCGAACGGGUGAGUAACACGUGAGUAACCUGCCCUUGACUUUGGGAUAACUUCAGGAAACUGGGGCUAAUACCGGAUAGGAGCUCCUGCUGCAUGGUGGGGGUUGGAAAGUUUCGGCGGUUGGGGAUGGACUCGCGGCUUAUCAGCUUGUUGGUGGGGUAGUGGCUUACCAAGGCUUUGACGGGUAGCCGGCCUGAGAGGGUGACCGGCCACAUUGGGACUGAGAUACGGCCCAGACUCCUACGGGAGGCAGCGGUGGGGAAUAUUGCACAGUGGGCGGGAGCCUGAUGCGGCAACGCCGCGUGCGGGAUGACGGCCUUCGGGUUGUAAACCGCUUUCGCCUGUGACGAAGCGUGAGUGACGGUAAUGGGUAAAGAAGCACCGGCUAACUACGUG
rnacentral:rRNA from 1 species